CGGAAAGUUCCAGCAGUGUGGUUUCUACAGCUGGGCAUGGAGCUGGCCUGGCUAGAAACAGCUCAGGUCCUCCCAGCCCCCAUUUCCCACAGGGCUAUCUGUGUCAUGGAUGGAGACAGAGCAGGGUGAUGAACAGCCCUGCCCAGCAGCUUCCAGUGCCUCAUCGGUCUGCUGAGCCUCGAGGUCGGCCAGCCUUUGUGCCUUUGUUCUGAAAAAGAGGCUGUGAGGACAGGGGUCCUCUCCGUCCAUCUCCAGUGAAGGUGAAACAGACCAGAUUCUGUGCAGCACUGUGUCAGACUAAAGGCUGCUUCCCUGCGUGUUCUGAUUUCACCUCGGCAGACCACAGCAAAUCUGUUGCCUUGAUAAAACGUCAGAUCAUAUCAACUCUAGGAGGAAAGAUCUUAGCUUGCUCACACUUGAAGGCUACCGUCGGGGUGGGAGAGUCACAGCUGGCGCCAGCAGCAUGAGACAGCUCGUCAUGCCACAUCUGAAGCCAGGGAGCAGAGAGGGAUGAAUUCAGGUGCUGUGGAAUAAUCCUCUUGUACACUGUAAAGAUUUGUCAUUUGAAUUGGUUUAAUAAAACGCUGAUUGGCCAUUAUCCAUACUUAUAGGAAGUAUAAGCAGGGCAACCAAACUAAGGAUGAUGGGAAGGAGAGGGGCAGAGUUAGGAGUCACCAGCCACAUGCAGAGGGAGCAGGAGAUGAACAUGCCUUACUAACAAAGGUACUGCCACAUGGCAGAGCAUAAAUAGAAAUAUGGGUUAAAUGUAAGAGUCAGCUAGUAACAAGCCUGAGCUAUUGGCUGAUCAUUUAUAAGUAAUAUUAAGCCUCUGAAUGGUUAUUUGGGAACUGACAGGUGGGAGAGAAACAUCCAUUUGCACUCAGGUGCUUGGUUCACACUCCUUUUUAUGCAUUUCUAGUCUCUAGCUCAAGGGAUGACAUCAACAAUGCUCAGGACCCAGGGAGUAGGGGGACAGGGGUCUCCCAAACUUAAUUAAGCCAAUAUAGAAACUUCCUCACAAGCAUGCCCCAAACUUGCCCAGAGUUUUGUCUCCUAAGUGCUUCUUGAUUCUGCCAAGUUGGCAGGCAAUGUUACCCUCCAGAGAGACUAAAAAGGAAGAAGGCUGGAACUGAAGGGGAAGAUCAGGAUCACAGCUGUGCACACCUCCAUCGCAGGGUUGGGUUGCCCGGUCAUGGGUGUGGCAAGUCCAGCCCCAAGGACCUCAUCCCUCCUCUACUUAAGACCCACGGCAUCUAGAAGACCAAUAGCACCCCCAUCUCUACUGUGUGGACAAGGACGCUGAGCCCCUGUCGUGCAAAUCACAAGUGGCUGUGUAGUGACUUGAACCCAGCACUCCAGGACUGGAUUGUUGUGAGCCUUUGUACUUUUGUGGUUUUCAGAGUGAGGUGAGGAAACGUGGAAGAAAGAAUGAAAGAACAAGGUCGCUGCCCAAGGAAGCAGUCCCCUUGUAUGGUGUAAGCACAGCACCCUACAGUGUCUGCAAGUAUUGUCACUAGAGAACCAGAGAAGGGAAGACUAGCUAGGGCACAGGUCACUCUCCAUCAGGGUGACAGGAAGGUCUCCUGAAGGUGUGGCAUCUGCAGAGGGCUGUUGAGAACAUCUAGAAUGACCAUAAAUCUAAAAGCAGGAUCAAGGACGCAGCUGAAGCAAGCCAGGGAUGGAGGCUGCCUGCCGAGGGGUAGCUGGCAUUUUCAGCUCCCACAUAAAGACACAGAGACUUACUAUUAAUUAUGAAUGCUCGGCCUUGACUUAGGCUUGUCCCACUAGCUCUUAUAACCUAAUUUAACCUGUUUCUAUUCAUCUGCAUUUUGCCUCAAGGCUUUUUACCUUCCUUUCAUUCUGUAUGUCCUACUUUCCUGCUUCCUCUGUGUCUGUCUGUCUGGCCCCUGGCACCUCUCUGUCAUCUCCUUUUCUCCCUUCCUUGAGCCUAAAUCCUCCUACUUACUGCCCUUCCUGGAAGUUCUGCCUAUACCUCCUCCCUCAAUAUUGGAUAUUGGCCAGUCAGCUUUUUAUUAGACCAAUCAGGAACUUCAGACAGGGGAAGAAAAACAGCAGCACAUCUUUGCAUAGUUAAACAAGCAGCACAUCUUUGCAGUUAAAUAUUCUGCAACCCUGAGGGACUGCAGGGCGCUUAGAAGGGACGGUGUAAUGAUUGAAUGAGGUGCCCACAGGCUUGGGCAUUUGAACACUUGGUCUCUAGUUGGUGGUGCUGUUGGGAGGUUUAGGAGGUGUGGCCUAGCUGGAGGAAGUGCGUCAUUGGAGGCAGGUUUUAGGAGCAUGUAGCCGCUCCCCAUUUCAUGUUUACAGUUGAGACAUGAUCUCUCAGCUUCCUGCUGCUGCCACUAUGCCUGCCAGCUGCCUUGCCUCCCGCCAUAAUGGACUCUCAUCCCUCUGGAACCAUAAGCCCAAAUAAACUCCUACUUCUGUGAGCCGCCUUUGGUCACGGUGUUUUAUCACAGCAACAGAAAAGUAACUAGUCCAAGUGGGAACAGAGAUCAACAAGGAAAAGAGGCCUCAGCAAGGGUGGGGGACAGCUCUCCCCACUCUCUAAGCAUGUAUCUAGGGGUGGGUAGGCGGUUAGAAGGGCCCUGGAGAAAGCAUCAGCUCUCUCCCAGAAGGAAAUCUCUCUGUGGCAAGAAAUAGGAAGCGUGGGGCUGAAGUUAGCUGCAGAGUCAGGGCCACUCUCUUCUACCCAGUGAGCCCCAGAAUGUCUGUGCUGAUCCUGGGCCAGGCGACCUCCACAGAGCCACCUGCUAGGCACGACGUCAAGCUCCAGCUGCCUGGCCAGAUGUUCUGUUAGCACCCUCUUCUGCCCCUGAUGCUUUUGUCUGUCUGUUUACUUAUUUUAUAUGUACAUGAGUUUAUAUAUUUCUGUGUGAACCAUGUGCAUGCCUGGUGCCUAUGGAAGCCAGAAGACAGUAUCAGAGCCCCUGGAAAUGGAGUUAUGGACAGUUGUGAGCCACCAUUUGUGUGCUGGGACUCAAACCCAGGUCCUUUGCAAGAAUAAAUAUUCCUUUUUGUU